AGGAGGGCAACAUCUAGAUAGUGGUUUCGUGAGACCCUGAGGAAAGCUCAGACCUACCUGGACUGUAGCGCCAAGGACACUGUGAAGUAAUAAAUGUUGCUAAGUUUGUCGUAGUUUGUUUACUGCAAUAGAACACUACUGUAGUUAGCACUGGGACUGGAUGCAUAGCUUAGGGAGUCCAUACCACAGAGAAAUGGAUGCCAUCACUCGGGGAGAGCCUAUAGUGAACACCUGGAGGAACACUUCAAGAGAAGAGGAAUCUGGAAGACACCAUCAGAACAGAAUGGGGAGGAAAAGGAGGAAGUCAGAACAAGAUAGAAUUGAACCUAUUUGUGGGCCGAGGGAACAGAUCCACCUGAGCCUCUAAAAGUUGUCUCCAUCUGGUUUCCUGGAACUUCCUGUCCAGAAGCAUCUCUCACCGCAGUGGCCUGACCUCCAUGGCCAUGCAGAGGACCUUGCAGGACCCGUCAUCAAGCCAGUGGACAAUGUGACACAGGACCAACCUUCAGCUCUAGUGUCAUUGAAAGCUGUGCCCAUUUCUAGUCGAUAUAUGGUUCCUUUCAUUUUUAACUGCACUCAGCUCAUUCAAAUUAAAUGUGUGUGUGCUUGCUGACAGGUUUAAAACAAAGAGGGAAGGUUGUGGUGUUAAUGCCAUUUUCAUGAGAAGUCUUUAUGGCUCUAUCCUAAUUCCUGUUUCUUUAAUCAAUGAAUUAGUGGUGACCAAAAAGGAUAAUGAAGAAUUCUGGAAUAGGUUGCCCUCUGUGAGUUAAACUAAUGAAAUUCACUGUGUGGGUAGGUUUGGCCACUUAUGGAUAGAGGAGACGGGAAGGAGGAAAUGUGUGACUCAAGAGUUUAGGAAAAUUCCAGAUGCAGGUAAGAUGCUGGUUGAGAGAGGCAGGGCUGAAAUAAAAUAAAAAUAAAAUCUAUGACUCAGGAAGCUAAGAUCUAACCUCGCAAGCAAUACUCUGAAGAAACUUUGCAGCACUGAACUCAGAAUGCA
rnacentral:lncRNA from 1 species